rnacentral:rRNA from 1 species
UACAGAGGUCCCAAGCGUUGUUCGGAUUCAUUGGGCGUAAAGGGUGCGUAGGUGGCGCGGUAAGUCGGGUGUGAAAUCUCGGAGCUUAACUCCGAAAUUGCAUUCGAUACUGCCGUGCUCGAGGACUGGAGAGGACGACUGGAAUUCAUGGUGUAGCAGUGAAAUGCGUAGAGAUCAUGAGGAAGACCAGUGGCGAAGGCGGGUCUCUGGACAGUUCCUGACACUGAGGCACGAAGGCCAGGGGAGCAAACGGG